rnacentral:lncRNA from 1 species
ACAUUUAAAAAGAUGUUUUGGCAACAGAAAUCCAAUUUUGAAUGAAUGAAAGACUCACAACAAGGUCUUAAAAAAACUGAAAAGCAAACAGAAGGAAUGAGGUGCCCAAUAAAUACUUGUUGAUGACUGAAACAAUGAAAGAACAAACCAGGAUGGUAUGUUUGAGAAAAUACAAAUGAGUUCUGUUGCGGGAAGUCACGGACCCUGAACGGAGGGACCGGCUGGAGCUGCAGCAGAGAAACAUAAAUUGCGAAGAUUUCAUUUUAA